UUCACUUGAUUCGCCCUUAUAGGUUAGAAAUGCAAAAAUACAAUAGAACAUACGGGUACAAAUGCGAAGAUACAGCUUGAUAAGUGGCAAGAAAGUGUUACUGGAAACAAAGUUCGCAGCCCAUGUACAGAAAACCUCGCAAUAAGUUAUUUAAAUAUACUUAUAAGUCGCCAAUAAAUUUACGUAUCUAAGAAAACGUCACUGCAUAUAAUCCGUCAAACAAGGCAAAUAAACAUGUAUGUGUUGCUUAUGUUGCAAACUUAUAUGCGUUGCUGCUUUUUUUUUUUUUUUGGCCUGUAGAGAUUCACUCCAGCGGAUGAACCUGCGUGUUAGCGUCCUGGGUGACGUGGAACUUCUUCCUAGGCAGCUGCAAUCUAAUAUGGCGCAGGUUCAAAUCGCCACUUCUAACGGAAGCCGGAAACACACAUGUCGCUUAUGCACAGCUUACAGCAGCAAAAUCAGCAUGAACAGUACCAUGCUACAUAUGGCAAAUGCUGUGAGAGCAGGUGUCAUCAAAUCUGAGUGAGCAUACAUGAUCUUUUCUAACCUUUAGUGGCACGUCUUAGGUGUGUUAAACAUGUCUAUUUAGGAUAAAAAUGACUUAAGCUCAUUUACAGUUCCUCAGAAAUGAAAACUUGCAUGGCGCUGUAAUACUUUCACGUUUAUGAAUAUUCAAGUCACAAGCAAAACAAAAAAAAUAAAAA